rfam:Stegodyphus mimosarum contig11422, whole genome shotgun sequence.
GCCUUCGUGGUGUAGUGGUCGGCACACUCGAUGCGUAACCGAGAGGACCGUGGUUCGAUUCCCGGCGAAGGCG